UGUUUAUAUGAUGGAUUAAGUUGAUGGAUCUUUGUAUAUUGAACCAUCCCAGCAUCCUUUGGAUGAAACUUACUUGAUCAUGAUGGAUAAUGUCUUUGAUGUGUUUCUGGAUUCUGCUUGUGGUCUGUUGUCAAGCACUUUAAAAUGUGGGGGACAAGUUUCUCCUUUGAUUCUGUGUAUCUGGUUUUAUGUGGUGGUCCUUGAUCCACUUGGACUUGAGCUUUGUACAAGGAGGCUGCGAUAAGAGCAGAGCUGCAGUGUGAAGAUUGUAAGAGCGUCUGUAAAAAGCUGGCAUUGUUACAAUAAUUUCUGCAUCAACAGGAAACUAAUGUGGAUAUUAUAUUGAUGGUUGCUUCCUCAGAAGACAAUUUCACUGUUAUAGAAUGAAACUGUUUUCUGAUUUAAUUAACCUUGUAACUCUAGCUUUUUUUAAGAUUCACAUAGUUUUCCCUAAGCAAAGGACUGUUUGAAAAAUGAAACACUAAAAUAAUGUUCUCCCUGGCUAGUUCAAAGUAAUGAGCAUUUAAAAGAAUGUGGUAAUUGAUGAAGGAAGAAGAAAUGUUUCUUCUUAUUCUCAGGGCACACAUAUCUAUCCUAUUGUUUCCUCCAGAGAGAUAAAUUUGGAUAUCAGGAUGGAAUCAUAGUUAGCUCUGUAAAAUACAUGAUCCUUGAGUCCUUAUAAACUCAGAUCUGUUGCGAAUGAGACCUGGAAGUUAGGGUGGCCUUACGGAAGCAGUCAGCAUAGUUUGGCAAUAAAUCUUUAAUAACCUUUUGCAAAGUCAAGUGCCAGACAUGUUUCCUUUUUGUUCUCAUAUGGCAACGAACCUCUUAAGUGCUAUACAAAUGAUACAAGAAUCACAUCAUGUCAAAUUCCUCUUACAUUGUACAUCCUCAUUAUUGACUUGCCUUGACACCAUCAUGUUUCCAUGUUUUCAAAAUGCCAAUUUUGAAAAUCUUUUCUCUCUAAAGCUUAUUCAAAUAAUAUCACAUGAAAUUAUUUAUAGAUAUAAGAACACUUUUUAAGAAAACCAUUAAGAUCUAGAGACAAGGAUUUGAUUUAGUCAGUCAAGAUUGGCAAAAUACAAAAAUAUAAAGAUAUAUUUAAAAUUGUGGCUUAUAUUAUGAUUUGGAAAACAAACCAACUAAACAAAGGUGUCCACAUGGUGCUUUACAUCAUGUAGAAGAAGAAAGGCAACAGUUUUUUGUUUUUUAAAAAAAGCCGUCCUUUUCCUUAUGACCCAUUUCAGACAAUGUAAUACAUUCUCAACCUCUUCUUACGCUUUUCUCUAGCACUCAUCCCCACUCAAACAGGUUUUACAUUGUGAAGUAAAGACAAACUGAGAGGUAAACAGGAUACAUAAGUUAGUGAUCUCUAGUUAUUGCAAACUCUUGUAAGAUUCUAUUUUUGUCAGUAGAAAUAUAAACUAUCUUCUUAAAAUAGUGCAUUCAGUGUGAUAUCUA